GGGGAAUUAGCUCAAAUGGUAGAGCCGCGUUAGCAUGCGAGAGGUAGUGGGAUCGAUGCCCACAUUCUCCA
rnacentral:tRNA from 1 species